UGGAGAAGGUCCCAAGGGUUGGGCUGUUCGCCCAUUAAAGUGGCACGCGAGCUGGGUUCAGAACGUCGUGAGACAGUUCGGUCCCUAUCCGCUGCGCGCGUUAGAGUCUUGAGAAGGGCUGUCCUUAGUACGAGAGGACCGGGACGGACCAACCUCUGGUGUGCCAGUUGUCCUGCCAAGGGCACGGCUGGUUGGCUACGUUGGGAAAUGAUAACCGCUGAAAGCAUCUAAGCGGGAAGCAUGCUUCAAGAUGAGGACUCUCACCACCUUGAGUGGGUAAGGCCCCCUACAGACCAUGGGGUUGAUAGGCCAGACGUGGAAGCACAGUAAUGUGUGGAGCUGACUGGUACUAAU
rnacentral:rRNA from 11 species